GUGUCUCUGCCCAACAGGAAACCAAGAGGGAACAAAGUACAUGUUCAACUCCAAAGGAUGGUUAACCCUAACCCUAUAUAACCCUAACCCUUCCCUUCGAAGGAUAACCAGACGAGGAUACAAAAUCAGAAUGAAGUUCCGCUUCUUAGGAAUGCUGAUGGCCAAAGCCAUUAUGGACUUCAGAUUGUGAGCUGAUGCCCUGCCUGCCCAGAGAGGGCAUCUUUGCAGUGGAUUUGAUGCUGAAGACGACGGAUGGAGCGAUCUGGCAGUGGAGGGGUGACCUUGGAUUGUGGCACGAUUACAUCUGUUUUAACAGCCGCAGCAUUGAGGUGUGGGGGAUUGGGGGUGCGUGAACCCGGUUGGGAUGUAGAAGGGGGUGCGUGGCCUAAAAAGUUUGGGAACCGCUGCCUUAGAGCAAUGCUCAGGAUCAUCUACUUUGCUGACACAGAGCUGCACCAGGUGAAGAACCUCUCCGAUUCUGAGAGCUUUCGAGUCACUAGCUCGCCCAAGGACUCAAUUUCAAAUAACAGAGACAAAAUAAAAGCCUGGAUCAAAGAACAGGCGAGUACGUUUGGAGUACAUUCAGUGCAGGGUUGCUGCCAUCCACAUUUUCAGAGUUGAAGUAGCGCUCCACAGAGACUUUGCACACCACCGACAGGGACUUGCUGAGCCGCGACGUGCGGCUCAAGAGGUUCCUCCAUGUGUUCUCUGGCUGUCCGGUUCAAGGAAUGGAGCCUAUAGGUCGUCUGGACCCGACAGAAUGGCCCGUACCUGGCACUGGUGCACAAUAUGAACAGCUGCCUGAGCAAAGUGAAGCAGUUCCCCGUCAAAAGUGCAUGAUUUGCCCAAAAUCAAAGACACUGUGGGUGGAAGGAGCGGUCAAGCAGAGAGUGCUCCCACCAAAACCUUGCCUCGCAACGCCAAGAUGCAGGAUGAGCUGUGGCAUGAUGCCGUGUGUCCCAGUGUCAUCAACCCCUUAGAGGAAAUACCUCACUUUGGAGCCUCCAGAGACCCCGCUGUGGAUGCUCCGGCACGAGGCGGAGCAUCCACAGUUCCCUCAUCCCUGCCCUACAUCCCUCUACCCUACAUCCCUUCAUCCGUCUACCCCUACCCCACAUCCCAU